rnacentral:rRNA from 1 species
AUACGGAGGGAGCGAGCGUUAAUCGGAAUUACUGGGCGUAAAGCGCGCGUAGGCGGCUUUGUAAGUCGGAUGUGAAAGCCCUGGGCUUAACCUGGGAAUGGCAUUCGAUACUGCAGAGCUAGAGUAUGGUAGAGGGAAGUGGAAUUUCCGGUGUAGCGGUGAAAUGCGUAGAUAUAGGGAGGAAUACCAGUGGCGAAGGCGGCCUUCUGGACCAAUACUGACGCUGAGGUACGAAAGCGUGGGGAGCAAACAGGAUUAGAAACCCGAGUAGUCC